rnacentral:lncRNA from 1 species
CUGACCAUCAUCACAGAGACCUCAGAUGUCGGGGAGCUGAGGGCUGCACUCUGACGGCUGCUCUUUGUUGUAAAUUUCUUUCUCAGGGGCCUGGAGAGAGUCAUGCCCACAGGCCAGACCUUAACAUUCCUUUCUGCUGACCCCAAGUUUUCGACAAAGCCUGGCUUCCUUAACCAAUUGCAAUCAAAGAAUCCUGAAGCCGCCUAUGACCUGUAAGCCCCUUGCUUCAAGAGCUUCCGCCUUUUUGGGCCAAACCAAUGUAUACCCUCUGCAUUGAUUUAUGGUUUCCCUGUAACUUCUGCUUUCCUGAAUUGUUCCCCUGCCUUUAAAAUCCCUUGCUUGUAAGCCAUCCAGGAGGUUGGGUCUGAAGUUUCCAUGAUGGAAAAUCUAAUGGCCACUUUCCAUUACCACAUCCCAGGAGCAGUCCAGCUUUUGGCUAUGAGGAAUAAGCCUGCUGAGAACAUUCAGCUCCAGGAUUUUGUGUGAAUGGACAGAGAAUUUACAGCUUACCGAGCCAGGCCAUUGCACUUUUGGACAACUCUACUAAAUGGAUUUUCCUCAUGCCAUUGCAUAACUGCUACCUGCCACCAGAGCCUCAGAAAUACAUGGUUUUCCAUCAAGCACUCAUGGAACAUGUAACUGUGGGCGCUUCUAGGGCGGUUCAUGAUGGAUCCUCCAAGAUCAACUAAAUAUAAAACAAGCUCCCAGCUGAGGCAGCUGCUCUCGCCUCUUCUUUCACUCGCUCCUGGCAGCACAGCAAUCUCUGCAAGUUACUUGGACCCUCAGGACUCCUUGUUCAAGUGCAAUGGAGGACCAUGCAGAUGGCAGGGAAAACCAAAGAAAGCUCAGGUGGCCCAUCAUGGCUGUCAUCGGUGGAAGAACGUCUCUAUUUAACACUGAACCUUAGUAAUGACAUGCUCUCCCCUUGUCCUGGACCUUCAUUUUGAAAUAGAGCAUUCGGGUGGGAGGGGAACCACGGGGGCAUUUCAAUCCUGAACCUGCUCUGGGCGGUGGCUCUAGCCUUUGGGAUUUUGUGCUCAUUUACAGUUUUUUGAGAUGGAAUCUUGCUCUGUCUCCCAGGCUGGAGUGCAGUGGUAUAAUCUUGGCUCAGUGCAACCUCCAUCUCCUGGGUUCAAGCAAUUCUCCUGCCUCAGCUUCCUGAGUAGCUGGGAUUACAGGUUCACGCCACCAUGCCCAGCUAAUUUUUGUAUUUUUAGUAGAGAUGGGGUUUCACCAUGUUGGCCGGGCUGGUCUCAAACUCUUGACCUCAAGUGAUCCACCUGUCUCGGCCUCCCGAAGUGUUGGGAUUACAGGCGUGAGCCACCACGCCUGGUCUGUCCUCAUUUACUUAAAGAGCCAUUACUCACCCCCAAUUCCCCAUAGAUAGUGGCCAACUUCUUUGAAAUCUGGAGACAUUUUCAAAUGCUCAACCCUUUUUUCAGCAAUUCUAUCUGUUUCUAAAAUAAGUGUCACUCAGGAUGGAUAUGCUUUUAGAGAAACACUGUGACAAAGACCCUUUGCUCCAGAGGAAGGACCUGCAGUGGCCCCAGGCUGUGGCUCCAGCAUCACUUGAGACAGUGUGAACAUUUGGACACAAUUAAAAUGAGGACACUUAAUCAAAGAACACACUUACAAAGGAAAGGGGCAGGAAAGCCAGGAGGCAGCAGGUGUGGGACCCCACAUGGGACAGGCAGCUGUGUGUUGUUGGUACCACCUUCCUGCCAUGGCUUUCCUACACCAGCAGAGAGAAAGCCCAUUUCUGCUCUCUGCUGCAAGACUCUCUGGAUGGAAGGCCCAGUUCCACAGGAAAGAAAUCCUGGUGGCUGAGGCGUGCCUGUGCAUAGCCUGGAUGGCUCGGCCUGUGGCCGGCAGGCACCCAGGGCCCCUGGUGGGGGUCUCACCCGCUUGGGAUGGCCUCAGCUCCCAGGCUGCAGCCACCACUGCCAUUUCAAAGCUCCUCCAGCAUUCUGGAUGCUUAGCCAGCCUGGGGACCCUCUCUCUGCUCUUCGGGUAUCUUACAGGUAAGAAAGAUGUCAUUGUAAGCUUUUACCCUUGGAAACACAUUCAUUCCAAACAUAUCAAAAGAACUUAUUAGGCCGUGUGUGGUGGCUUAUGCCUGUAAUCCCAGAGCUUUGGGAGGCCCAGGUGGGCGGAUCGCUUGAGCCCAGGAAUUUGAGAACAGCCUGGACCUCCUUGACUUCUGGGGAGUUUAUGAGGGACCUGGACACUGUCAGAGUGGUUUUUUGUUUCCCUUUGUGUACAGUUUUGAGUUCAUUGUUUAUGUAUUAGGGUUUGGAAUAGGAUCAUAUAAAUAUUUCAGGUCCUAAAAUAGCUGUGACAGUGUCACUAAUCUGCCCCUGAGCUGAACAUCCACCCCUCCGCCGCCAUUUAAUCCUCCAGUCAUGUGAGGGAGGAUGGGAGUCUGUGUGAACGUCAUUCUCACUCGCCUUCAAAGAUCAUAUCUGCCUGUCUCAUCUGUCAAGAACGUAGAGUUUGUUGUGAUGGUGUAUUCAAAAUAGACGAAACGUGUGGUCAUUGUACUUGGCAAACAGCUUUUCACGUCAGGAUGUUUCUGCCCCCGGCUCAGGGCUGGUCCGACUGUGUGAAGAAUGUGGCUCAGUGCAGGUGCCCAGUCUGCCACCCUCAGUCCCGCAGCUGCAGUGUUAGAAUAACUGUGCUGUGGGCACCCAGCGUUGGUGACAUGGGGAAUGUGGAAUAAUGAAUACUUAAUUCACAUGUGCUUAUAGAAAAAACUUUAUACAAUAAAAAUAACCAAUUGUUAUAUUUACAUCUUUUUCUGUCACUAUAUAUAAAAGGAAUCAAGAAUUUUCAUGCAGCUUCCGGGUAUUCUUGAGACUGGUAUAUCAUUUCUUUUUGAAAAGUGCAUUAUUGCAUAACACCACCUAGAUAAAUAUAUUUUUAUGUAUUUAUAAGUAUAUUUUAGCUCAAAAAUAUCAAUAGUAUACAUAGCUU